rnacentral:sRNA from 1 species
AUUUUUUUAUGUGUAU